AACUUGAAAAGGCAAACUUUGCGAAAGCAGAGGGCGCAAAGUCACUGAUCUAAAGGGAAAGCUCCCAAUGAUAGCAGGACUGCCAGG
rfam:Nitrosomonas sp. AL212, complete genome.